UGGGAUUGCUUUUUCAGCCUAGGUUAUUGCUAAAUAGCAGGAAUAAGCUGAGAAAUGAGAAACACCCAAUAUGAAAAAGUGUUUUGGUAAAGUCCUGGGGUGGGCUGAAGGAUAAACUUCCUUUUCCUUAGCAAAUGAGCUGCUUGCACCCACAACAAAAAUAAUACAGAAGUAUCUGUGACAAAUUGAAUGGAGAAAAAAACAGGGCAACAAGGAAUUGUCCUGAAGGCCAUCGUAUCCCCCAGGACACCCAGGAGGAGGGAGUUGUGCUGAAGGUUUUCCGAGUCAUCAGUAUUUGGGAGUGGGAUGGUGACAGUGGGGACUUGCUCACCAGUGGGCUCAGGGGGCCAGGAGGAAAGUGGGGAGAGCUGAGCAUCCCCUGCUGCCAGAGCAGUGCUCUCCUCUCCGAAAAUGGAAUCAGCCUUCAGAAGUUCCCUCGCCAUUGUUUGGUGUGGAAUCAGCUGCCCCAAACCUUGUUAGUCUGUGGCUUUCAUAAGGACAAAACCACAGAGGCUUUGAUUUCUCCUACCUUUGUGCUGGCAGCCCGGGCUCUCGGCGUUCUCUCUUUCAUUAAAGACACUCAGCCUCUUCCUUGCUUUGAUUCUGGCUGUAUUUUGUGGCCGCAAUCCUCUGCAGCAGGCAGUUCUGUGGAUUAAUUAAGGCUUGGGUUACUGAUUUAUUUUAUUUUUAAGCGGUGCAAAUAAUUGUCUGUUGCCUUAGAUUUGCAUGAUGUGAAAGAGGAAGCGAAAGCCCCGGCCAGUCUCCUUUGUGCCACUCAGCCUUUUGUCCCCCUCCCUCUCUCCAAUCUGAAGAGCACCCCUAAUCUCUGCAGAACUUUCUUUCUCUGAAAACCCUCUGCUCGUUUUUGUCACCCCUUGCAGGAUCUUUUUGUCACGAGGCUCAAUGCUGGAUCAGGAGAGCAUUGGCGGCUUUCUCGGCGUAUAAAUUUCAUUUCUCUGUUUGUCAUCCUUAAAAAUACUUCUAAUAGUUUUGAGAGUAGAAAGAUCCCGAAGCCCAGGAAGCUGUCAGGCCAUUUUCCAAGAACAAAAAUCUUCCAGCUCCUAACGAUGCGUGAACACGGCAUGGCCAAGCAUUGCAUCAGCUAGGAAAUGGCAAAGGUCAGAACCAGCUCUCCUCCAGGCAGCCCUGCACAGGGUGUCUGUCCUCCACAUGAACGACCUUGAGAUCAAUACAAUUUAGCAUAACAGAAUCACAGAGUGAUUCACUCAGGCUGGAAAAGACCUCCCAAGAUCCCCAGCCCAUCCCAAGCACAGAUAAAGGGCAGGUGGGGAAUGGCUUGAGAGCAGCCUUGAGGAGAAGGAUUUGGGGGUGUUGGUGGAUUAAAAACUGGCCAGGCUGGAUGGGGCUGUGAGCAACCUGGGCUAGAGGUGCUCUUUCCUACAGCAGGGCGCUGGGUCUGGGUGAUCUUCAAAGUCCCUUCCAACCCAAAGCAUUCUAUGAUUCCACGAUUCUGUCCCACCAUGCCCACUCACCAUAUCCCUCAGUGCCACCCGUUCACAGUUCUGGAUCCCCUGCAGAGGUGGAGAUCCCACAACCUCCCUGGGCAGCCCAUUCCCCAUUGAAGAGAUCCCAGCACGUUUUGAGGUUAGUCCCAUAGGGAUGAUGGAUGCUGUCACGGACUCUGCUGUGCAUGGAUCAGCAGCAUGGGGCAAGGGUUGCUCAGAGCACAAGUCCUGCUUCCAACCCCACAGAGACCAGAUCUCCCAACCUUAUCUCUCAUAGAGAAGGCUUCAGUCCUGGUUUGGACCUUUCUGAAGUGUAGAAGCCUGAAAAUGCUGCGUAGACAACUUUGGAAGACAGGCACAGGUUCAGCACCUUCCAGUAUCCAUCCCUGUGUCACUCAGAGAUGGGAAAAUGACCUAAAGGAGAAAAUGAAGAACUUAUUUCAGAGACAACUGAUGCAAAAUCAGCUCUGAAAAAUGUUCACGUUGUGGAGCGGGCUGCGUUCUCAUCUGUGCUAAAUGGAAUGGAGUUCGGGAGACGCUGCGGCGCAGUGGCUGAGUCAAAACCAGUCAUCUGUGUCAGUACAAAGAGCAUUUGCUCAAAUUGAAUCAGCUGCUGUCAUCCAGGAGGCUGGAAAUAACCCAGCCACAGAAAUGAACGUGUGGUCGGGGUUCACGCCGUCCAUCAGCCACGUUGGGAUCAGAAGGGAUCAGCUUUCCUUUUAACAUCUGUGAUUCUGGAAGCAUCCAACUUGUUGGCAAUGAAUUUUCAAGCAGUUUGGGAUGUCAAGCCCUUUGUAGACCCUCUGCAGAGAUGCUUGCAGCAGAACUGCUGCUCCGAGUGCAUCCCCUCAGCCAGCAAGGUGCUUCCAUUCAGAGCUGGGUGGUGGACAUAUGUGUUGGCCAAAAUCCUUUAGGAAUAUGUGAAACAGCCAUCAUAAACCCAAGUUUAAUCUACUUGGAUAUCUGAAACUCUUUCUGUAGGUUAACCCUGCAAACGUUGCCCCUUGACACUGUUUAAUAGAGAUUUUGAGGGGUGUGAGAGCAUCCUCUGUUUGUGGCUUACGAGCUUGCAGGGUUACUGCUGGAAGAGCAUCAGUCAUGAAGAAAACUGUUCCAUGCAAGCACAGCAGUCCUCUUCUCAGGUCCUUCUAGAGAUGUCCCUGGGAUGAUCUUUCUCUGGAUAGGUGGCCCAAACCUUAUAGGUUUUGUUUGGCUUCCAUGUGAAGUCAUAGAGUGCCACAGGAAGGUGGGGAGCACCCUCUGCUCCUGCCCACCCCAAAUGAAGCACAUUUGGUGGUGGUGGUAAUGUUCAAAGGCUGCCUUUCAAAUGCUCCUCAAGUGCCAUCUGCUUUAGCCUUCUAUAUCCAAGUACCCAUGUCACCAACACCAAGCUGGAUGCUGGUAGUGUUUGAUGCCUGUUGUUGACCUCAUGGUUUCCAUGCAAACAGCAUUGGGACCCAUGUGGAUUAAAGGAUUUAGCACUCUAGACUCCUGAGUGCCCCACAUGGAGACCUGGAGAGGGCUUUGGGAGGGGCUGGGGUCCCACAGUGCCUCCGGAUCCAACAGCAGCAGGGACAGAAUUGGAAAUGGCUGGAACCAGUCUUGAUUGCUCAAGGAUCACUUCCUCCGAGGUCAAGAUGAGUGCAUCUGUAAAUCAGGCCAAGGUGGCAGGAGGUCUGCAUGGAUGAGCAAGGAGCUCAUGGGAAAAUUCAAUAGCCCAUGGAAUGUGAAGAAGGGAUCUGGCUGCUUGGGAGGAAUGUCAGAAUGCUGUCAGGGCCUACAGGGAUGCUGCAAGAAAGGCUGGAGCCCACCUGGAAUUAAAUCUGUUGAGGGAAGUCAAGGGCAACAAGAAAAGACUUCUUUAGGUGUGUCUUAAAGGAGGACUGGGGGAAAUGUGGGUCUGCUGCUGAAUGAGCUGAGUGCCCUGCUAACAGGACACUGAGGGUGGGCUUUCUGAAUGCUUUCUUUGCUUCAGUCUUUAGUGAUGAGACUGCCCCUCGAGAAUCCCAAACCCUGGAGGGGUCAGAGGUUGUCUAAGGGAACAUGAUGCACCCAAAUCCAUGGGCCCUGAUGGGAUGCACCCACAUGUGCUGAGCUGGCAGAAGUGAUUGCCAAGCCACCCUCUGUCAUCUUUGAGAGGUCAUGGAGAAUGGGAGAGGUGCCUGAAGGCUGGAGGAUAGCCAGCAUUGUACUAGUCUUCAAAAAGGGCAACUGCAGGCAGCCAGGCUCACCUCCAUCCCUGGGAAGGUGAUGGAACAGCUUGUUCUGGGUGCCAUCUCUGAGGAACUGGAGGAGAAAAAGGUUAUCAGGAGUAGUCAGCGUGGAUUCACCAGGGGGAAAUUAUCCUCAACCAACCUGGUGCCUUCUAUGGCUGGAUAGAUGGGGGACAGUACCGAAAUAAUUCCUUUCAAGCUUGUCAAACCGAGCACUUAAAAUCAUUGUGUGCAGUUUUAAAGAAAAAAAACCAAUGAUGUAUGUCUCCAUUAGGCUGGUUCCUUCCCAGGCAGCCUGCCUUCCCGACUUGCUCGCCUGGUUUCAGCUCUCCUCAUCAGCGCCUGCUUUUCAUUCUGCUGAAAGUAGGGCAUGCACUUUUCUCUUUCGCUCUGCCCAUUAAUAAUGCAGCAGAGAAUAAUGCUCCGUGUCCAUUGCUGCAGUGCCUGCACUGAGCAGAAUGGAUGUUUCUAGCAGCAGCCCCCGAGGUGGGGGUCAGUAGGGUUGUGCUGUGGCGUAGGAUGGGGGCUGUGAGCCCUCUGUGCUGCUGCAUCCUCCCUGCAGGAAGCAUUGCUCUGCAGUGCAUCGGCGUGCACUGCAUCAUCUGCUUGGUUCCUUUCCCUGCAGUCGUUGGCAAGAGACUAAAACAAAUCCAGAAGAUGCUGGGAGGAGAUAGACCUGCAGAGAUGUUAGAUAGUCAUGGCUGGAUUGAAACCUCUGUGGGCGAUAGCUUCGUGCACAGGAGAUAUUGCUGUUCCUGGAUGCUUCUCCAGUUCAUCUUUUGUGCAGUUUUAAGUGAUGGAUUCUCCCUGGUGAUUCAGCGUGAGGGACAUCAAGCUGCAAAUUCCUGGCCAGCUCAGCCCCAGCUUGCAGUGACUGUUUGGUGGAUCCAGCAUGGAGAGAGGAAUUGGCUGAGGAAGGGUCCUUGGACCAUCUGAAUGAAUCCCAUGAUGAAUGAGUCUCAUCAGCCUUGGAUGUGCGGUCGGGUGGUGAAAGUGAAUCUGAUUUUGAAUGUAAAGAACCACUGAUCAUGGAAUCAUUGAGGUUGGGUGAGACCACUGAGGUCAUCGAGUCCAACUGUGGACCCAGCACCCCGUGCCCAUGGCAGCCUGUAGGACCAAGCAGGGUCAUUCCCUCGGGUUUCAUCCCCUUUCUGUGUGCACACAGCAGGGCAGAGCUGGUGUAGUGCUGUGGCUCUGGAGGCCGUGGGGAGCUGAGUAGCUCAAUGCAGAGAGCCUGGCUGCUGAGCUUGCAAUAAAAAUUAGGAUGGCCCCGUAGUUUCAGAAGAAAAAUGAACAGGAAAAUACCCAUUAAGCCUUUCCUAGAGGCAGUGUCUCUGUUAGGGAUCUGCUUUCUGCAUAGAUGUGCUUUAAUGUAAUAUGUAAUGGCAGCCCUUGCAUCGUAGCGUGGUAGAAUAUCCCAAGAAUGCAGAGAAAACUACCCCAAUCCAUGCUUCUACCAGCUCUCCUUCCAGAGUUUCCAAAGACCCAGUUGACGGGGUGGGAUGCUCAUAGCAUCAGUACCCACCACAUGGGACCAGAAUGCAAAUAAAAUGCCUUGUACCCCUCACACUGGGGUUUCCAGCUGAGAAGCAUGAGGGACAGCUGUUCCUUGUCCCCAUGCAUAGGGACUCACCCAAUCCUGCCUUGUGCUGCAUCUUGUGUUGCCUUGUUUCAGUGCUUCUUAUGCACAUAGACACACUGUCACAUAUCAGUUGGCUAGAAGUCAUGAUUUAGCAUGUUUAUUGCAUCAAACCAUUAAGCUGCUGCUCUGAAAAGCCAUAAGUCCCCAGAGAUGUCCCCAGGGAUGUCCUCAAAGCCACCUGUGUUGGCUGUGUCCCCCGUGUAGGUCUUCAGACUGGUCUCUUGGCUCAGGAGAUUGGUCACUUCUGUGGGGUUUAGUGGGGAGGUGAUGGGUUUUGUGGAGGAGGUGAUGGGUUUUGUGGAGGAGGUGAUGGGUUUUGUGGAGGAGGUGAUGGGUUUUGUGGAGGAGGUGAUGGGUUUUGUGGAGGAGAUGAUGGGUUUUGUGGAAGAGGUGAUGGGUUUUGUGGAAGAGGUGAUGGGUUUUGUGGAGGAGGUGAUGGGUUUUGAGGAGGAGGUGAUGGGUUUUGUGGAAGAGGUGAUGGGUUUUGUGGAGGAGGUGAUGGGUUUUGUGGAAGAGGUGAUGGGUUUUGUGGAGGAGGUGAUGGGUUUUGUGGAAGAGGUGAUGGGUUUUGUGGAAGAGGUGAUGGGUUUUGUGGAGGAGGUGAUGGGUUUUGAGGAGGAGGUGAUGGGUUUUGUGGAAGAGGUGAUGGGUUUUGUGGAAGAGGUGAUGGGUUUUGUGGAGGAGGUGAUGGGUUUUGUGGAAGAGGUGAUGGGUUUUGUGGAGGAG